AAACUUCUUUAUCACCGAGUGCUUGCACUCACCGAUAAAGAGUUGAGUGGCGAACGGGUGAGUAACACGUGGGCAACCUGCCCAAAAGAGGGGGAUAACACUUGGAAACAGGUGCUAAUACCGCAUAACCAUAGUUACCGCAUGGUAACUAUGUAAAAGGUGGCUAUGCUACCGCUUUUGGAUGGGCCCGCGGCGCAUUAGCUAGUUGGUGGGGUAAAGGCUUACCAAGGCAAUGAUGCGUAGCCGAACUGAGAGGUUGAUCGGCCACAUUGGGACUGAGACACGGCCCAAACUCCUACGGGAGGCAGCAGUAGGGAAUCUUCCACAAUGGGCGAAAGCCUGAUGGAGCAACGCCGCGUGGGUGAAGAAGGUCUUCGGAUCGUAAAACCCUGUUGUUAGAGAAGAAAGUGCGUGAGAGUAACUGUUCACGUUUCGACGGUAUCUAACCAGAAAGCCACGGCUAACUACGUGCCAGCAGCCGCGGUAAUACGUAGGUGGCAAGCGUUAUCCGGAUUUAUUGGGCGUAAAGGGAACGCAGGCGGUCUUUUAAGUCUGAUGUGAAAGCCUUCGGCUUAACCGGAGUAGUGCAUUGGAAACUGGGAGACUUGAGUGCAGAAGAGGAGAGUGGAACUCCAUGUGUAGCGGUGAAAUGCGUAGAUAUAUGGAAGAACACCAGUGGCGAAAGCGGCUCUCUGGUCUGUAACUGACGCUGAGGUUCGAAAGCGUGGGUAGCAA
rnacentral:rRNA from 1 species